GUUCCUGAACCUAGCCAUGUGCUUGGCCGAGGGAAUGGAGCCCGAGGCGCCCCCAGGUGUGGAUCCCCUGGGGAAGUGUGAGCAGUGUCAGACUGCCACAGGAACCGAGCGAUUGACCAUUUGUCUUCCAGAAAUGCACACAGGGGUAUGUUGGUUAAAUGAUACUCAAUUCAAUUUGUGUAAAAUAAAAGAGAAAAUUUGGUGUUCUAACCCAGGGGCAAGUAUUAUGGAAAAAUCAAUUCGGACCUCGGAAGAACUAGGGGUUCAAAAGACCCACUUCCGGAACAAAAGAGAAAUAAAGGGGAUUCCCCCAAUCACGGUCUGUGGACAGUGCAAUAAGACUGUCUGGAUUGGUGGGAAAAAGCAAUCGACAUUUAUAGCAUACCACCAAGUCAACCCUUUGUGCUACAAUAAAGCAAACUUAAAACCUUGUAUGAUGGGUGGAAAAUUGUACUGGGAAGGGAAAAAUUUGAAACAUGAGGCAAAAGUGUCAUUUAACAAUGAACCUAUAGUUUUACACUUACUGAAAGCAGAUGAUGAUAGAGUGUGUUUUCAAUUUGACCAAGUGUUCUGUUUUUCUAAAGACGAGGAAGGGUUAGACCCAGAAAAUAAAAUAAAACAACUAACUUUAGAGUUAAAACGACAGGAAAUGGAAAAUAAAAGAAAAAGAUUAGAACAAGAGAGAUUAAAUUCUCUCAGCGAACAAUACGAACAACUAGAAAAACAAUAUAACAGUUGGAAAUUACCUAGCCCAAAUCAGAAUCUAUUUAUAGAUCUGAUGCAGGAAAUAGCCACUGAAUUAAGAAUAUCCAACUGUUGGAUAUGCGGUGGUUUGAAAUCAGCCGAAAGAUGGCCAUGGAAGGGAGAAGGAUUAACCCCAGAACAAUUGCUAAAAUGGACAGGACUAAAAUUAUCAAAAACAACACGAAGACCAGAGGGAUGGGUAAUAGAUAAACGAAUAAUUAGGACGUUUUGCAUUAGCCGGGAGGGAAAAGAAUUUACUGACUUAGUAGGGUACACCCCGUGUGUAAAUACCCUCACGGUAAAUUCAGAUAAAAAAACAAAAAUCUGGCAACCAGAACCACCCGAGGGGUAUUGGAGUCCCUCUCGGGAAAAUAAUUGCGAAUGGUUAGAAAUAAUUGGACUCUGUUGGAACAAAAAUCUGGGNNNNNNNNNNNNNNNNNNNNNNNNNNNNNNNNNNNNNNNNNNNNNNNNNNNNNNNNNN
rnacentral:lncRNA from 1 species